UGACGCUGGCGGCAUGCCUAACACAUGCAAGUCGAACGGCAGCACAGGUAGCAAUACCGGGUGGCGAGUGGCGGACGGGUGAGUAAUGCAUCGGGAUCUACCCAAACGUGGGGGAUAACGUAGGGAAACUUACGCUAAUACCGCAUACGUCCUAUGGGAGAAAGCGGGGGCUCGCAAGACCUCGCGCGGUUGGACGAACCGAUGUGCGAUUAGCUAGUUGGCGGGGUAAUGGCCCACCAAGGCGACGAUCGCUAGCUGGUCUGAGAGGAUGAUCAGCCACACUGGGACUGAGACACGGCCCAGACUCCUACGGGAGGCAGCAGUGGGGAAUAUUGGACAAUGGGCGCAAGCCUGAUCCAGCAAUGCCGCGUGUGUGAAGAAGGCCUUCGGGUUGUAAAGCACUUUUAUCAGGAGCGAAAUGCCAUGGGCUAAUACCCCGUGGAGCUGACGGUACCUGAGGAAUAAGCACCGGCUAACUUCGUGCCAGCAGCCGCGGUAAUACGAAGGGUGCAAGCGUUAAUCGGAAUUACUGGGCGUAAAGGGUGCGUANGCGGGUAUUUAAGUCUGCCGUGAAAUCCCCGGGCUCAACCUGGGAAUGGCGGUGGAUACU
rnacentral:rRNA from 1 species